rnacentral:misc_RNA from 1 species
AAGUCGUAACAAGGUCUCCGUAGGUGAACCUGCGGAGGGAUCAUUAACUUGUAUGUUGAUGUGAGUGAUUCACUUUGCUCACAUUCAACUAUCAACCAAAACAAAUCAACCCCGUGAAUGUGAGCAAUUCAUUUUGCUCAUUUCCAACCGCAUUUGAACAGCGAAACGGAGCAUUUAGUUGCUGACCAGUUGGGCUAUUUGGCAUCGGAUGGUGUCGCCCGCCUCGCUUUUGAUUGCGGACCAUUUUUAAUAACCUAUUUCACCCAUUCGUACAACACAUUGACUGAAACGAAAGGCGAUUGCUGUAACAGGCAAUAACCUGCACAUUCGAGUUUAUUCGAAAUCUAAGCACAACUCUUAGCAACGGAUAUCUUGGUUCUC